AUAGGUUUUGUACAUAACAAACAUGGCUGCCAUUUGGCCAAUUUGAAGGUUGAUUUUGGAAGGUCAAUGUUUAAUUCAUGAGUAAUGACGUCAAAAUACGCAUAAUGCACUUGUAUGAUUGGAUAAAACGCUAAUGUUUUAUUCAUGUCCUCAUGCAUUAAACAUUUUUUUCCAUCCCACAAUUCCCUACGAUAUCUGUGCGAAGUGUUGUUCUUUUUGACUCUGCGAAAUUCAACUUUUUGAAAUACAAUAGCAAGACUAAUUAUCUGUUUAUAGAAUUAGUGUCCGGAAUCAUGAUUUCUGAGUGAAAUUCAGUUGAGCAGAAAAUCUUUGAGGGAACAUCUACAUCAGAGUAAUGGCAUUCCAUGCAAAUAAAAAUCCAAUAGGAUCAAGUUCUUAGCAGUCCCAGCCUAGUCAGAAGUACAAAGUCAACUACCAUUUGCACAUCACCAAGAGUAACAAUCUGAUGAGGAAUAGGAUAUCUGAACUGAAAACUUGCAAGGUUUCACAGGCUGUUUUAGUACCACCAGGACAGAUUAAGAAGAAAUAUGGAGGCCAAGUUCAUAACAAGUAGUUACUUAAUCACAAUUACACAUUUUAAAAAUUGAAUGAAUUUGAAUAUUGUCAAUACAUAUUGAAUUUUGCUUAAACUACACAUCUUUAGAAAAAAAUAGCAUUGGAGUAUAAAUAUUUAGGUCCAUAGGUUUCACACAAGAUUAAAAUAUAUUCCCAAAGGGCACACCUACCCACCCAUUAUUAAUGUUCUAAUCAUCUAAAUGUAGUACUUAUAGUAGUGAAAGAACUUUUAAUGCUAUUAGUAGUUUGAAAGGGAUAGUUUGUAUUCUGGUAAUAAAAUCAAUUCAGAAUGGGUCUUUACUGAGGUCUGGGCUAUGUAACAUACAUGCCUACAGAAAUACACAAGAAAAUAAGAAAUAAUGGAUUUUCAUUGAAAAAAUGUGCAUUCUAAAAAAACAAGGUUACAGAACAAAGGAUUAAGAAAUCACUCUCACUCCUGGACCCCAUUUCAUUACUAGACUAACCACUAUUCUAACGUUGCCAUUCUGGUAAUUACCGUGGAAACAAGCAACAGAUCAUCAGUGAGGUUCCCAUGCUAGUUGCUAGUUACAAUUGGGGCAAAUUUACCAUAAUUCAAGUCUUUAUGAAACAAGGACCUGUAGUGCUGGACAUUAACUGUUGAAUUUAUUUUUUGGGGAAGUGAAUACCUAUGAAAGUGAAUAUACAUACUCAUUUUUUUCGAUUUUUUUUUUCUCUAGAUUUUACCUAAAAAAUUACAUCCGUUCCCUUGUAACAGGCUUGCAAUUUCUGUUGCAUUCAUUAUAUGCAUUUUGCUGAUGUAAUGUGAUGCUUUGGCGAGAACAAAAGGAUAGGAAUAUUUUUAUCACAUAUUUCAAAAAUUGAUUGCUUAUUAAACAUUUUAAUUU